UCUCCAUCCUUAGAGCAAGUAUAUACUAAGGUAUGGCUACACUUACAUUUGUACAGCGCGGGAUUACAGCUGUCUUCGUUACAAGCUGUGUAGGGAAAUGCGCAGUGUGGCCACUGGCAGCUACCAGCGCUGCAGUGUGGCCCCAUUUGCAGCAUUUGCAGCGCUGUUGGGAGUG